rnacentral:rRNA from 1 species
GUGGGGAAUAUUGGACAAUGGGCGCAAGCCUGAUCCAGCCAUGCCGCGUGAGUGAUGAAGGCCUUAGGGUUGUAAAGCUCUUUCAGUGGGGACGAUAAUGACGGUACCCACAGAAGAAGCCCCGGCUAACUUCGUGCCAGCAGCCGCGGUAAUACGAAGGGGGCUAGCGUUGUUCGGAUUUACUGGGCGUAAAGCGCACGUAGGCGGAUCGUUAAGUCGGGGGUGAAAUCCUGGAGCUCAACUCCAGAACUGCCUUCGAUACUGGCGAUCUUGAGUCCGGAAGAGGUGAGUGGAACUCCUGGUGUAGAGGUGGAAUUCGUAGAUAUUAGGAAGAACACCAGUGGCGAAGGCGGCUCACUGGUCCGGUACUGACGCUGAGGUGCGAAAGCGUGGGGAGCAAACAGGAUUAGAAACCCUUGUAGUCC